ensembl:lncRNA
GCUCUUGGUGAGCGGCUGGGUGGUGUUGACACCCUCAGUUGUUGAUUUGGAGAGUUUAAGUUCUGUGUGACUGAGGAGUGAGCCACGGAGAGAGUGUACCUGGGACUGAGAGAGCAAGCUUGCUGAGUCCCGUACUCGAAGGCAGGAUCCCUGCAUUUCCCAAAACAAAAAGAUGUGACUGAUCUCAACAGGUGGAAAGUUUCAGGGAGAGUGACAGCACUACCUCCAAGAAGAAUUGCUGCUUAAUCUGACUGAGGAUGCUGUGACGGGUCCUGCAUCCACCUGAGAUGAUGAAUUCCAGACACCAGCUUCUCCUGCUGCCCCGCCUCCCAGAGCCACGCCUUGUUCCCCCCGGAAGCUGCUCCCACCCAGGCACGACAAGCACAUUCCUUCUGCAAGAAUCUGGCCCUUUCUGGAGCUGGUAGUACCAAAUAGAGACCUGCACAGAAUCAAACUUGGGUCUGCUCACCCAAAGUGCAGCAAAGCCAAACCUACUGAAGCUGGGUGGUGCUGAAGAUAAGUGCUGCACUUAUUACAGGCCCCAAGCAAGGAGAAUAGGCAGGUCAUGAUCAAAAGAUUCCCCAGUGGUUUUCAGGGAAGAGGUUUUUAAGGUGGGAGGGCGGAUCCCAGGAUGUGUGAUGAGCUUACGGAUAGUGUUCUGACAAGUAGGGGGUGAAGGAAGGAUGUGAUGUUUUAGCAAUAUCAACAUCAGUCUUCUGACUCCAACCAAUGUAGGGUCUAUGUGUUUAGGGUCAGUAGUUUUCACGUGGUGGUCUGGGCAUCAGACACUGUCAUCCAUCUUCCUCCAAAAGAACUUGAGUCUUAGGUUCCAGUCCCAAUCUGACUUGGUGCCUAAGUCCCUCUCCCCUCCCUCGCCCUACUGCCUCAUGUCUGCUCCCUUUCUGCCCCCUCCUAAGUGAUCAGCUGUCUGAGCUUGUCCUUUAGAACUCAGGAUGCCUAGGAGACUAAAGCUUUCCCACCCUCACAAGAUAGGGGGUGCUGAGAGGGGUUUGUGCUGGGGUGGCCCUGGCGGGUGCUGUUCCAUUUCAUUGUAGCUUCUCAAGGCUGAUCCCCGUGCUGACCUCUUUGUCUUCAAGAAGCAUUAGUUCUUCUCAUGCUUUGAUGCUCUCCUGCCUCGCCUUUAGUCUCAUCUUUCCUACUUUACCUGGGAAAGAUCCUUCUCUUUUAGGGGCCAAUGUGAUUAGAUUAGACCCACACAGAUCAUCGACAAUGACCUCCACACCUGCAGGGUCCCUUUUCCCAAAGCAACACAUUCUUGGGUUCUAAGGAUGGAGUAGGGCCAACUUUGGGGAGCCAGUGUUCACCAUGCUGCCCUCAAAAACAAAGCCAAAAGAGGGAAACUUGUCACCAGAUAACCAUGUUAUCAUGAGAGUUGUUAACACUAGUUGUCCAGAGUAGAAUACAAAUCAGGAAAGUAGGAAUCCACUGUUCAGGACAUGAUCUAACCAGCAGUUAGAGUGACACACAGAUUGGCACCAUCAUGUGGAUCCAACUCCAGUGCUGAUUCCCCAACAUUCUUUAUGGCUUCCUUCUUCUUGCUUUUCUUUUCUCAUGUGGCAUUUUCAUCCUUUUAUUUCCUAGUUAAAUUUUUAAAUUUCAAAUAGUCUGAUCCUACCGUAGCUAAGAAAAAAAUCUCAAGAAUUCCAAAAUAACCAAAGUUUGCCUGCAGUACUAUACUAGGUGGCCUCUGUGUGCUGAGCAUCCUCGCGGGCCAGAACCAGGAGGUGUCUUUUCAUGAUGGGGAGGCUCAGAGGCACAUGAAGAGUAGGUGCCACCUGAUGGGAGGAGAUCCAGACUGUAAUAUGCCAAAUGCUGGCCCAGGUGAGAACCAUAGGUUAUUUCUGGAAGUCUCUAAAACGUGGUUGAUAAAACAGGAUCAAAGACCCUAACAACAGUCAGUGUGUGUGUGUGUGUAACUGAGUCACUUUGCUGUGCAGUAGUACAGAACAGAACACUGCAAACCAGCUAUAAUGGAAAAAAUAAAAAAUCAUUAUAAAAAAAUAAAGGAGAAAAAAAAGAAAAAUCACAACCAUGCUAUCUAUAUAUCAGGGUGGAGCCAGGAGGAGGUGGGCAUGCGUGAUCUGAGAAGAGGGCACAAGAAAGAUAAGAAUAUACAAAGGCCACCUCACCUCAAAGGGGAGGGAGAUUUGGUUGGAAUAUUUUGUAUUUACUGUGCUGCUGAUUUUUUUUUUUUUUAAGCUUUCCAGUGCCAUUCCUGUGCCAUAUGGAAGUUCCUGGGCCAGGGGUCAAAUUGGAGCCACCGCUGCUGGCAUACACCGCAGCCACAGCAACACCAGAUCCGGCUGGCAUCUGCACCCUACACCACAGCUCACAGCAACACCGGAUCCCUGACCCACUGAGCGAGGCCAGGGAUCAAACCUGCAUCCUCGUGGAUACUAGAUGGAUUCAUCUCCACUGCACCACAAUGGGAAUUCCCCAAGUGCUUCUGAUUUUAAGAAUUUUUGGAAUUAGCAAAGAGUUGAGAUGAACACAGUGUGCUUAAAUUCAAAUGCUCCUGAUUCAAAGGAAUGUUACAUGUUUAAAUGUCACAGAUGAUGUUUAUUCUAACAGGAAUCCAUGUUCUGUAGUAAGUCUUUUCAUUUGUUUAGUGUCUUCUAAGCACAGAUCAUCUCACCCAUCCAAAAGUGAGAGUGUUUGGAGAUGGAACACAUACCUGUUCUUACAGGUGAUCCUUGCAAUAUCUCAUUAUUUAACUACUCUGUGCUUCAUUUUCCUUAGAAACAAUAUGGCAGACCUAGUGUUCUUACUACCGAUCUCAUAAACUGGUGGAGCAAAGAGAUGUGAAUGCUUUAAAGGGUCAAAAUUAAUUCAGCAUAAACUUUAAUAUUUGCAAUAAAUGUCAGUAGUACCAUAAUCCUUUUAGAAUGAAAAAAAAAA